UUUCUAUGGGGUUUCUGUGAGGCUUACAUGGGAAUUUUAUGGGGUCCGAGGAGGGUGGCUGUAGAUUGGGAUGCAGAAGAAGGUCCUGGCAGCUUAAAGGUGCCCCUAAAUGCCAACUGAAUGGCAGCAGAGCAGGUGAGAGGCGGAUGUCUGUAGAUUGGGACGCAGAAGAAGGUCCUGGCAGCUUAAAGGUGCCCCUAAAUGCCAACUGAACGGCACCAAAACAGGAGGCCAUCAUGGACGGGACGGAGAUCGCGGUGUCGCCGCGCAGCCUGCACAGCGAGCUGAUGUGCCCCAUCUGCCUGGACAUGCUGAAGAACACCAUGACCACCAAGGAGUGCCUGCACCGCUUCUGCUCCGACUGCAUCGUCACCGCGCUGCGCAGCGGGAACAAGGAGUGCCCCACCUG